UUUCUGAAGACAUACUACUGUUGACCUUCUUCAUCCCCAGUUAAUCCCAACGCUGCCGAGUAUCAGCUUUACCAACUACUCGACGCCAACUCGAACGCUACCGAGUACCAGCUUCACCAACUGCUCGACCUCAACUCUGACGCUGUCAAGUAUCAGACAACUACUCGACCUCAAUUCCGAUGCUGCCGAGUACCAGCUUCACCAACUACUCGACCUCAACUCCGACGCUGCCGAGUACUAGUUUCACCAACUAACUCCGACGCUGCCGGGUACCAGUUUCACCAACUACUCGACCUCAAUUCCGACGCUGCCGGGUACCAGCUUUACCAACUACUCGACCUCAAUUCUAACGCUGCCGAGUACCAGCUUCACCAACUACUCGACCUCAAUUCCAACGCUGCCGAGUACCAGCUUCACCAACUACUCGACCUGAACUCCAACGCUGCCGAAUACCAGCUUCACCAACUAUUCGACCUUGACGUUGCUGAGCCUAGCUAUAACACGAUAAUGAGCGC
rnacentral:lncRNA from 1 species